rnacentral:rRNA from 1 species
GACGAACGCUGGCGACGUGCUUAACACAUGCAAGUCGAGCGGAAAGGCCCUUCGGGGUACUCGAGCGGCGAACGGGUGAGUAACACGUGAGUAACCUGCCCCAGACUUUGGGAUAACCCUCGGAAACGGGGGCUAAUACCGGAUACGACACAGCUUCGCAUGGGGUCUGUGUGGAAAGUUUUUCGGUUUGGGAUGGGCUCGCGGCCUAUCAGCUUGUUGGUGGGGUGAUGGCCUACCAAGGCGACGACGGGUAGCCGGCCUGAGAGGGCGACCGGCCACACUGGGACUGAGACACGGCCCAGACUCCUACGGGAGGCAGCAGUGGGGAAUAUUGCACAAUGGGCGGAAGCCUGAUGCAGCGACGCCGCGUGAGGGAUGACGGCCUUCGGGUUGUAAACCUCUUUCAGCAGGGACGAAGCGUAAGUGACGGUACCUGCAGAAGAAGCGCCGGCCAACUACGUG